UGUAACUUACAGGAAUUUGCUGAGAAUGAA
rnacentral:piRNA from 1 species